GACGGAGGGUGCAAGCGUUGUUCGGAAUUACUGGGCGUAAAGCGCGUGUAGGCGGCUUGCUAAGUCUGAUGUGAAAGCCCGGGGCUCACCCCCGGAAGUGCAUUGGAAACUGGCGAGCUCGAGUCCCGGAGAGGAGGGUGGAAUUCCUGGUGUAGCGGUGAAAUGCGUAGAUAUCAGGAGGAACACCGGUGGCGAAGGCGGCCCUCUGGACGGUGACUGACGCUGAGACGAGAAAGCGUGGGGAGCAAACAGG
rnacentral:rRNA from 1 species